rnacentral:rRNA from 1 species
UGCCAGCCGCCGCGGUAAUACGGAGGGUGCAAGCGUUGUCCGGAUUUAUUGGGUUUAAAGGGUGCGUAGGCGGUCCGUUAAGUCAGUGGUGAAAUCCAGCAGCUCAACUGCUGAACUGCCAUUGAUACUGGCGGACUUGAGUACGGACGAGGUAGGCGGAAUUUAUGGUGUAGCGGUGAAAUGCAUAGAUACCAUAAAGAACACCGAUAGCGAAGGCAGCUUACUAGACCGUAACUGACGCUCAGGCACGAAAGCGUGGGGAGCGAACAGGAUUAGAUA